GACGUAGGGCGCGAGCGUUGUCCGGAUUUAUUGGGCGUAAAGAGCUCGUAGGCGGCUUGUUGCGUCAGCUGUGAAAAACCCGCAGCUCAACUGUGGGCUUGCAGCUGAUACGGGCAGGCUUGAGUUCGGUAGGGGAGACUGGAAUUCCUGGUGUAGCGGUGAAAUGCGUAGAUAUCUGGAGGAACACCGGUGGCGAAGGCGGCAUCCUGGACCGGUAUUGACGCUGAGGCGCGAAAGCUAGGGGAGCAAACGGG
rnacentral:rRNA from 1 species